GACGACAAGAAGAAGGAACCCUACCCCGCGAGCAGUAGAGGACAUGAACGAACCCUAAUCGCGGUACUACUGCUUCUUGGUGCCAUUGACUCUCCCUAUAAUUGUUGUUGCUGUGUACUUUCAUUGGCUCAGCAUGAAGUUGUUCAAGCAUGCUUAGCAUAACCUUCUCAGAUUUUGAAGGCA